GCAGUCGAACGAAGUCUUCGGACUUAGUGGCGCACGGGUGCGUAACGCGUGGGAAUCUGCCCUUGGGUACGGAAUAACUCAGAGAAAUUUGUGCUAAUACCGUAUAAUGUCUUCGGACCAAAGAUUUAUCGCCCAAGGAUGAGCCCGCGUAAGAUUAGCUAGUUGGUGGGGUAAAAGCCUACCAAGGCGACGAUCUUUAGCUGGUCUGAGAGGAUGAUCAGCCACACUGGGACUGAGACACGGCCCAGACUCCUACGGGAGGCAGCAGUGGGGAAUAUUGGACAAUGGGCGAAAGCCUGAUCCAGCAAUGCCGCGUGAGUGAUGAAGGCCUUAGGGUUGUAAAGCUCUUUUACCCGGGAUGAUAAUGACAGUACCGGGAGAAUAAGCUCCGGCUAACUCCGUGCCAGCAGCCGCGGUAAUACGGAGGGAGCUAGCGUUGUUCGGAAUUACUGGGCGUAAAGCGCGCGUAGGCGGUUUUUUAAGUCAGAGGUGAAAGCCCAGUGCUCAACACUGGAACUGCCUUUGAAACUGGAAAACUUGAAUCUUGGAGAGGUCAGUGGAAUUCCGAGUGUAGAGGUGAAAUUCGUAGAUAUUCGGAAGAACACCAGUGGCGAAGGCGACUGACUGGACAAGUAUUGACGCUGA
rnacentral:rRNA from 1 species